CCUGAGGGGCGGGACUUCCCCUGAGGCAGCGGCCCGGCCCGGCCCGGCCCGGCGUCCUGACAGGGCUCGGCGGGGCGGUUGUCCCGUCAGCUCGGCGUCUCGCUGCCGGCAGAGAUGGACCAGCGCCUCGCCGAGCUGGUGGAGGAGCUCACCACCUCGGGGGAACAGCGGCUGGAGCCCGGCAGGCUGAAGGAGCUGAAGAACAUCUGCAAGUCUUCAGAUGAACAUAUCAGCCAUGCCUAUCACCUGCUGAUGACGCGGCUCAAUGAGGACCACGCUGAGAUGCGCUUCUCAGCUUUCCAGAUCAUGCAGGAGUUGUUCGUCAGAUCACAUCAAUUCCGGAUGCUAAUUAUUUCCAACUUCCAAGAGUUCUUGGAGCUCACGGUGGGGAUAGACCAUGAGCAGCCUCUUCCCCCACCCAAAGAGGUGGCACAGAAACUGAGGAAAGCAGCCAUUAAGUCAGUGCAAGACUGGCAUGAGAAAUACGGGGAGGCCUACAAGAAGCUUUCUCUGGGAUACCACUUCUUAAAGCAGAAUAAGAAGGUGGAUUUUCAAGAUGUGCAUGCCAGAACUGUGGCUGAAAGGAGGAGGGAAGAGGAGAAGCAAAAACGAUUGGAUAACAUUUACAAAGAAAAAGCCAAAAGAGCUGAAAAAGAAAUGGAAGAAAUGUCCCAAGAGAUUGCCAACGCACUGACAGAGAUGGAAAACUGUUUCCGGCUUCUGAUGCCAGAUCCUUUUGACUUCACUGCAAAUGACACGGAACUGGAACCUAACAAACAAAUGUCUGCUAAUGAGGACAGACCUGCAUCCCCGUUGUCUUCCCGGAUGGAAGUUAACCAGUCCUGUUUUGGAUGCAUGGAUGAUGAACAGCCAUGCUGCAGCAAGGACGUUCUUCUUGUUUCUCAGUGUGUUAGAACCGAUAGAACCAAAGAGUUAGAAGAGAAACAGGAGAAGCCUGAGCAAGAAGAAUUAGAUGGAGGCUCGUGCUCAGAAGCUCAAUCUAGUGUCCCAGCUCUCAGUGAUGACGAUUACCAGACUUUUGUUAGGAACCAUGGGCUUAUUUCACAUAAGUAUACUCUAGACCUUGAAAUCUCCACAGAAAUAAAAGUGCAUGAGAAUGAAGAUAAUACUGCCAUAAUAAACAAUGUCAUGGAUGCUCACAAACUUCUCAGAAAUAAGUUCUGGCCUUCUGUGCAGUCCUGGAUUCAGUUAUUUACCAGAGCAGGAAUAGAUGAUGAUCGCCUAAGAUGUGCCAUUGAUCUCAAGAAUAAAUUGGAGACUGCUAUGAAGAAAUACAAGGAAAUGAACAUUUCCUUUAAAGCAAAAAAAAGAAAAGUGAUGAAAGCCUUGGAUGAUGACGAUGACGAGGAUGAAGAUGAAUUUGUGGAGGUCCCUGAGAAGGAAGGUUAUGAGCCCCACAUUCCAGACCACCUGCGUAAGGAAUAUGGGCUAGAGCCGCAGUCACCUCCAAAAGCACCAGUGGGGAAGACAUCAAUGGGGACAGCUCCGCUGAGCUCCCGCACCCAGCUGAAAGGGAAUGAAGACGAACUUGAUCCAACCUGUGCAGCUGCCACACUGAAACUUAUUAGAGACAAGCUACCAAAGUUACCACCGCCACAUGCCAGUGACUGUGCAACUACUGAGCCAGCAGCCUUGGAAGAGCCUGACAGUAAGAGAAGAAAACUAGAAGAAGAAAGAGCUAAAGCUCCCCUCAUGCCUUUUGGAUUAGAUCUUCACUACUGGGGACAGGAUCAGCCAAGUGCUGGGAAGAUUCUCAAAUUUACUUCUGAGCAUCGAUUUUGGGCACCCAGUGAAGUAGAGGAAGAGGUGGAAAAUAAAGAAAUAACUGAAAUGUUAAAAACUAGAUACAUAACAUUUGCUGGCAAAUUUGAACCAGUGAAACAUAAAUGUCGAGCACCAAUGCCUGAUGGAAGUCUGUGUGAAAGACAAGAUCGGAUUAAGUGCCCUUUCCACGGUAAGAUAAUUCCUCGGGAUGAAUCUGGGAUUCCCGUUAAUGCGGAGGACAGAGCCAGAGAAGAAAAGAUGCGGUUUGAGAAGCAAGCAGCUCAGCCAGGACUUGAAGCAAGUCUAAGCAGCACUGCUAUGGAAAACAUACAAGUGGGAACCCACUCUGUACAAGUGGCGAGACCCAGAAUUCAUGAGAGAAGUUGAAGCAGCUACAGGAGUGGAUCUUGGUUCCUCUAAAAAUAAUGGAAAAGGAGGGAAAAAGAAAGGGAAGAAGAAAAAAUAUCCAAAUCUGACAGACCUGAAGCAGCAGGCUAACACUUCUCGUUCCCGGCUUGAGAAGAAAGUCUUCAAUAAAGGUGCUAUGAAACGGGUGGUGAAAGCAAUGAACCGAGUGGACCAAAGAAAGCACGAGAAGUUUGCCAACCAGUUUAACUAUGCACUGAAUUAAAUUGUUGAUCUUCUUUACCCUUCAUUUUAGUACAAGAGUGCAACUGCACAAAACCUUUAUCACAGAUCUUCAUAUUUACACUAAAAUACUGUGCUAGGUGCAUUUUUACUGGGGUAAUUUUUUAAUUUGUUUUCAACUUUAACUUAUUUGAUAAUGAAUAUUAAUUUUGGCAAAGAUAUGGUGGUAUAGAAUGAAAUGCAUUUAACAAGUUGAUAAUUAUUUGAACUGUAGAUGAAAUAGAGCAUGUUUUAUGACUUGUACAUAAUCUGGGUAAUAUGUUCAAGUUUGGGGUUUUUUUUCCUUCCUAAGGGACUCUUGUAAUUUAUACCUCCUUUGCCAACAUGUGUGUUGUAAUUUGCCUCCACUUUCAUGCCUUCAGAAAAAAGAUGCCUUAGAAACACUUAGAUUUCUACCAGAGAUAGCAACACACAGAGUAUUUGCUCAGCCUACAACUCUAGAAGGUGUACCACAUCAAGCAGCACAGUGAUUCCUGCAGUACCUCUAAAGACUUUUUGUGUACACGCUAAAAAAAAAUCCAAAUCAACUGAUGCCUACAGGUAAUGAAUGGAGUAGAGUUUGAUUUCAGCAAACUGAAAUCCAGGAAUGAAUUCAAACUUGAUAGCUGUGGCACUAGUGGAGAAGCUGAAAUGACAAAGGUCAUCCUGGUCUGCUGCUUGUCUUCCCAAGAUGGUAUCCCAGUAUCUUUCAGAACUGUAUCUGGACAGCAUGCUGUGAAAGUUUGGAGAGAUACUCAGAAUGUGCUGUAGUUUAACUGAUGCUAAAAAGCUCCAGUACAAAGCGAAAGUAUGAGGUUUUAAAAAUCAUUCAAGUGUCAUACUGCACUACUGAACUGCCUGGCUUGAAUCGGUUAAAAUUACAUCGGGAUCAAGCCUGAGAGUGCUUAGUCACUCACCUGUUGGAGGUCUUUCCUCGUGCAUCAAGAGACUAUAAGACUUUAAAAAAGGAGAAAAUUUAAACUCCUCAGUGUAGAUUCUGACCACCUCAGUCAAAAGCUAAUUUACAGUUCUGCCAAAUACCUUUUGACUUGCACAAGUACUGCUUAGAAGGCAAUUAAUGCUGAAUCUUGAUAGUUUAUUUUGCGAGAGCUCUGCAGUUUGGAGGACAAUUUCCUCUUCAACACAGGUAUUUAGAAGAUGUACUUCUAAACUACCAGAAAUAAAAUAAUAAAGAGCCAGAAUUUCAAAAGCUAUCAUCUGCUGCACUGGAAAGAAAAACCACUUCUACUAUCAGGCUAGCUAACUUAGUAGUGAAGGCUUCAGGUGAAAAUGUAGACAAGGACAAACCAAGUUCAUCACUAGGUCAGUUGAAUCAACUGCUAAACUGAUGUUAUUUCUUAUCAAGGAUAAAGACACACACAAAAAAAACCCCAAAACAAAACCAACACCACCACAACCCUGCAUAUUUGAAUGUAAGGUAGAUCAUUGGAUGCUGGGAUCGCAGAACAGUCUAAAUGAAACUGUUUGAUCUUGGAGAUUAACAUUCAAGAGAGCCGCAGAGGUCAUCGUGCCACUAUUCCAGAGAUUCUUGAGCCUGCACAGACUGAAGGUGUUCAUUCAUAAGACAUGUUUUCUCUCCUUGUAAAAACAGUGGGCAUUUAUAUUGUGCAGUGGCACUUAACCCUUCUUUGCUGUGGAUGUGAGAUGUCAGCACUAGAAAAUUUCCAGCAAACAGUAGGUGCACUUUACCCCAUGGAGUUCCCAUUUUGGGCCUUUAGUAAAAUAAUAAAAAAAAAAAGCCCAAAGACCAAGAUUGGAAAGGGAAUUUGUAGAAAUCUGUGAGAAAAGAGUGUGCUUAGCAAGUAAUGCUCCAUUAUGACUCAGUCACAUCACUUCUAGAAUUAUCAGCUGAAACUUCCUAUCUGGACCUGAGUGUCCAAUCCACCUGAUCCUAUUGUGUGAUCUAUAUGCUCCCCCCCUUUCUUUAUUAAAAACACACAUGCAUACAAAAAGGUGUUUUUUCUAGAGUGCCUCUUUCAUGCAGAAGGAGAAUUUGCAGAAUUAAGGUUUCCCAGCAAGUGACUUGGAGAUGGCUAACUCAGACACAGGUGCAUGGACUUUGGACCAGGUUAGUGAUAACCUUUUUUAGAGCUCUUCUACUUUUCUUUUUUUCUGGUCUUGUUGCAGUAACUUUUUGUGUCAGGUGGGGAAUAUACCCAGUUGGAUAUGAAUUUUUUUGUUCCUCUUUCUGCCUUGAAGUAAGAAAGACCAUAGAUUCUUCAUAGGAGAAUGUGUUAAACACCCAUUCACUGUAGCACUGCCUUUAUGCUAGCCUGACCUCUUACCAGCAUGCAUCUUCCCCUCAUCCAGUGUUUGAGAAACCCGUGCUUCCCGUCCCGUGUUAAUGAUUGCCUCAUUUAAUCAAAUGAUUUCUCUACAAGGGCAAUUCAGCAUAUAUACACAGAACAGGUCUUGAAUUUUGCCACAUUAAGCAUUCUCAGUAGACCUGGUCAGACAUAAUUUAGAGGAUUCAGGGAGCUUUCUUCUUUUCCUGGGUUUAUCUGUAGCUCUGCUAGAGGAAAAUUUUUAAAAAGGCACCUAUCUCCAAAGAUCCAGCAUACCUUCAUUAGAUAGAAAUCCUUUUAAGUUCAGAAUAAAUCAAUCUACUUCUUAGAUACAUCACACCUCUUUGUGCUUUACUUUACUUAAAGCAGUUUACAAAUUUGAAGUCUCUGAGCUCACCAGCUAUUCAAACAUGUUAGUUGCUAAACUGUGUGACAUUUCUGCUGGAAUUUUUCUAUUCCUGUCCUCAGGGAUUCUGGGAAAAAAAAUAAAUACAAGCAUCAUUCACAUCA